AAUAAUUACAUGCCCAGACCACCCAAUUAUUUAACACCAACUCAUGUCCUCUUCUUCCUACCCUUAAGCGCACACCCCAUUUCCAUACUCAAACACACACUCUUCUCUGAACCUUUGUCGAAGGCUCGAAGCUACUCCAUUGCAAACAGAAAUUACCAGCGAAGAAUUAUUAAGGAGCAUGAUUUGAGUGCUUUUGGUACGACCUUCUGAAGAUAAGUACCCUUACUUAUGCUUUUGUUUGGUAUGAUAUUGCAUUAGGUGUGGACGUGGUGAGGAUGAUCAUGGUGUUGUUUUGAUGGGCUGGCUUUAACUAUUGAGCUGUUCAAUUUGUUGUCAAUUACUGUAAUUCAGUUUUUAUUUCUUCUUCUUUUUUUUUUUUUUUUUUUUUUUUUUUUUUUUUUUUUUUUUUUUCUAUUUGAUGUUAAUUGCUGCAACUUUGUUUAGUAUAUUUGUCUUCAUUAAUGUCUCAUAGUGAUAUAACCUUUCUUAAUGCGAGUACUAGUUGCGAUCCAUCAACCAGCCAGUAUGUGAAAUUUUUUUGCCUAUACUGUUUCCAAAUAAUCUGAAGCUCGUGUUUGAAAUUCACUAAAUUAUUAGUGAAUCUUAUGCAUCUCUUUCAUUUUCUUUUAUUUUAGGUACCUAAAUUCCUAAUCUUAUAUUGAUUUUCUCUGUUUUACAAGAAUUUUUUAUAGAGAGUUUAGUGAGAUGAUGGUGUCAUCUGAUACUUUGUGCUCCAAAUCCUGAGAUAUUAAGGUUGGUUUUGGAUGCAUUGUUCAAUAUUAUUUCAAGUUUAUUCUACAAGCACCUUCAGAAAAGGUAAACGACUUAUGAGAGGAUGAUUUCUACAAGCAAUUCUCAGAUUGUUCUAUUUUAGAAAUCACAAUAAUGUUCUAUUUUAGUUCAAAUCACCUCUUAUCACUCUGUUAUUUUAAGAUGACAUACAUGUCCUUCGUAGUUGAAAGUUGGUGACAUAUUUGUAAUUUACAUCUACACCAUUUUCUAUAUUUUAUAAUUGAUGUAGAUCGAUGUCGAUUAAAUUAGACCUUA